UUGAAGAAGAGAAGUUCAACGCCAUACCUCAGUCAUUUUUAAGCAAUUUUAAUAUGUCAUUUUUGCCUUUAUCAGCCAACACUGAGACAAAGACAACAGCAAGAAAAUUCUCCGAAUCCUACACCUUACAGGUGUGUAAGAUACUGAGAAAUCACUUUUUGCAGCCAGAGGAUGAAUGAGCACAAGGUCUCAUUGGAUGAGUGUGAAAUCUGUGUUGGAUGCAUCUUGCUACAAAAUGGAAUGAGGUAAGGGCGUGUUUGAAGGACGAGCUCUGAAGCUAUGAGAGAAGGAUGGAGAAAGAUCAGAGGGAAGAUUAAUCAGCUAUAUGAGGAAGUUAAUGGAGUGAAACAUAAGUGGAGGAGUUGGCAGCACAUGCAGAGGAGGCGAGGCGGAUGGGGGGUACCUGGGAGAAGGAAAGCUGGCAGAGGAGAAAAUAAGGUAAGAAGAAAGCGAAGAAAAGGGAAAAAAACCAAAAAAAAACUGUAUCCUCUCCCGUUCCUGUUUCCCAUGCUCCCCUGUGUAUGCGGGGUAAUCAAAAACAUUUAGAUGUUUUACG